rnacentral:rRNA from 1 species
AACGAACGCUGGCGGCAUGCCUAAUACAUGCAAGUCGAACGAUCUCUUCGGAGGUAGUGGCGCACGGGUGCGUAACGCGUGGGAAUCUGCCCUUGGGUUCGGAAUAACGUCGGGAAACUGACGCUAAUACCGGAUGAUGACGUAAGUCCAAAGAUUUAUCGCCCAAGGAUGAGCCCGCGUAGGAUUAGCUAGUUGGUGGGGUAAAGGCCCACCAAGGCGACGAUCCUUAGCUGGUCUGAGAGGAUGAUCAGCCACACUGGGACUGAGACACGGCCCAGACUCCUACGGGAGGCAGCAGUAGGGAAUAUUGGACAAUGGGGGCAACCCUGAUCCAGCAAUGCCGCGUGAGUGAUGAAGGCCUUAGGGUUGUAAAGCUCUUUUACCCGGGAUGAUAAUGACAGUACCGGGAGAAUAAGCCCCGGCUAACUCCGUGCCAGCCGCCGCGGUAAAAC